rnacentral:rRNA from 1 species
GUAGGUGGGCAAGCGUUGUCCGGAAUUAUUGGGCGUAAAGCGCGCGCAGGGCGGUUCUUUAAGUCUGAUGUGAAAGCCCACGGCUCAACCGUGGAGGGUCAUUGGAAACUGGAGAACUUGAGUACAGAAGAGGAAAGCGGAAUUCCACGUGUAGCGGUGAAAUGCGUAGAGAUGUGGAGGAACACCAGUGGCGAAGGCGGCUUUCUGGUCUGUAACUGACGCUGAGGCGCGAAAGCGUGGGGAGCAAACAGGAUUAGAUACCCUGGUAGUCCACGCCGUAAACGAUGAGUGCUAAGUGUUAGGGGGUUUCCGCCCCUUAGUGCUGCAGCUAACGCAUUAAGCACUCCGCCUGGGGAGUACGACCGCAAGGUUG